AUUUGAAAGGCAUUUGGGGUUGGGGUGGGGCGGAGUCGGGCACAGGACAGAGCUACAAAGAAUCUGAAAACCAUGAACAAGCAGGAAGUGAAAGUCAAGUCCUUAUCUUUGCUAUAAGCCAUGCAAGCAGGCGAGCACCAGGUCUACUGAGCAAAUGAGAAGCAACAAGCGUGUCCUUCCAGGAGCUCCCGCCAUACGCUGAGCCGCAGACAUCUGGGUGGCGCGGGUGUGUGCUCACAGGCUGAAAGAUGUCCUCGGUGAAGUGAGAUUUCAACGGCUGAUAGAAGGAAAGGCUGAGUGGGGCAGCCAAGGCUGUUCAUCUACAAUGUCUCAGUUUCUACUCCUAAGAAAAUACCAAUCUCAUAGAGUGUUGGUGGGAAUCCAACGAGAUAAUCCUUGUGAAAAGGGGUUCAUCACAAUGGCUCAGAGAGGGGAGCUGCGGCGGGACAACUGCUACAGGAAUGGAGCUGGAUCACCAGGCUGCAGCCUCUCCUCCUUCACUGUCCUUAGUAAAACCACACCAAACCCACCAAGGAGGCAGGCAAGGCUGCCGGGAGCAACAGGCAGAGACAACCAUGCACCUCGUCCAGAGCUGCCAGGCUGCUGUGUGAAGAAUGGAUCAAAGAGAUCAAGAUGGAAGCAGGCUCAGCUGGUGGGUGACUACAAGGUCCAGGCUUGAGAUUAAUAUGGCCCCCACCACGGUUGUGACACUGGAGACAGAUUUGGGGUAUAUUUUGGAGAAAGAGUGAAACUGGAUAGGCUGAUGAAUUGAAUGUAGAAAGUGAAAAAGGAAUUAAGAUGACACCUAGGUUUGGAGGCUGAAGCAAGUAUAGGAAUUGGGGUGCCAAUCGCCCAGAUGGGGAUGACUGGCGCAGGAAGAUGACAACAUGUAAAGUUUUGAGUACCUACUGGCUAUUAAACAGGACCUGUCACGUGAUUGGAAACACGAAUCUGCAGCCCAGCGGUGUUGGAGAGGUAAAUUCGGACAUGAGGGGACUGGAUGAGCUCACCCUGGGCUGGUAGGGGCUGGGAACUCCUGCAGGAUCCAGACAGAAGGGGGUUGUGACAGGGAAAGCCAUGGCCUGAGGACAGGGCCCAUGGAAGUGAGGCUAAAGGCUGAGGGAGCUGAGGGUUUAGUUGGUGGUAGAGAUAAAAGGCAGACCUGAAGCAUUCAGAUGCUCCAGGCUUGGAGACGGGAGGCACCGCCUGCAGCCGCACUCUGUUGUAGCCGGCAGGACCAAGCUUCCUGGUGAGUAAUCAGAUCUAACGCCAGCCUGGCGCCCACAGCAGUGCCUUGCCCUCUCCCACCUGCCAGUAAGCACCUGAGCUGGAUAACAGCUGGUUCACAUUUCCAACCAGUUCAUUUCCCUGAUGUCAAAGAUGUAGCUCUUGGGGGCUGGGCAUUCAGUGGAGCGACCAAAGGCAAGACUGGCCUGGGCAGGGGAUUAGAGAACCUUUGGGAUUCCAGAGCCGGUCAUCAUCUUAGACAAUAGUGGGGCAGUGGGAGGGAGCAGAGAUGGAAGGAGGAGGAAGGACACACUGGUAGCACGAGGCUCUGGUGAUAGCUGUGUUGUGCCCGCUAAAUAAAUCAGGAAGGGGUGAUCCUGUAGCCUGAGGCAGUGUGGUGUGGCAGUUCACGCACAGGCUCUGAAACCUGACCCCUUGCCAUUCAGAUUUUAGCUCUGCCCUCACUCCCUGCCUGGAUCAGCCUCUCCAUCUGCAGAAGAGCCCCGAGCACAGUGUCCUCAUGGUUGGUAAGAACUCCAUUUAACUUCUAGCUCUGAAUUCAGUGAUGAUUUCCAAGCGUCAGGUCACGCCUGCACGGAUGACAGAGAGGUGGCUGUGGCUGGAAUAAGGCUGUGGAGGGGGCAACAAUAUAACAAACAGAUCUGGGCAGCGCUCAGAACCGGUCAAAGGAACUCUGAGUUCAGUAGGAUUCUGUGCAAUCACUGCUUAUCGUAAUGAUAUUCUCGAUCCCAUAUGCUGCAUAUGUUUCACACUUUUCAUCUUAUGUAUUUGUCUCCCGCAGCUGCUGUGACAAAUUACCACCAACUGAAUGGCUUAAAACAACAGACAUUGAUUCUCUCACAGUUCAGGAGGCCUGAAAUCUGAAAAUCAAGGUGUCUUCCGGGUUGGUUCCUUCUGAGGGCCUUGAGGAAGACUACAUCCCAUUGCUCUCUCCUGGCUCCUAGUGGCUUCCCUUGGUGCUGGGCAUCCUUUGGCUUGUCGAUGUGCCUCUUCAGUCUCUGCUUCCACCUUCACAUGGCCUUUUCCUCUGUGUCUCUCUGUGCCCUCUCCUCUCCUUAUAAGGACACUGGUCACUGGGUUUAGCGCCCACCUUAAACGCAGGAUCGUUCCAUCUCAAGAUCCUUAAUCAAUUAUAUCUGCAAAUACUGGUUUUUCACAAAAGUUUUUUAUUUUUAAUUUUUUUGAGGGGGAGGUAAUUAAGUUUACUUAUUAAUUUUUUAAAAAAUGGAGAUACUGGGGACUAAACCCUGGACUUUGUGUUUGCUAAGCAUGCGUUCUACCACUGAGCUAUGCCCUACCCCCCUUGCAAGUACUCUUUUGAAAUAAAAUCACAUUCUGAGGCUCUCUGUAAACAUGGAUUUUGAGGAAACACUAUUCAGUCCACUACAACUGGCCCUCACAAUCUCCCUUGGAGCAAGAGGGACAGGUACGAUUGUUCCCUUUCUAUGAAUUGGGAACACGGUCUAGAGAGAAGGGACCCAGCCUAUGGUCAUGUAACUAGUGGGUAGGAAUAGAUCCCAGAUUUAAGUUCCUGCCCCAGUGCUCCUUCCCCACCCAAGUUUUAUUCUCUUUAGAUAAGCGCCUUGUGUGUAUAUGUGUGAGAGACAGACAGUGAGGGCAAGAAGGAGCUUUCGUCUUGUCCGUCCAGCUCUCCUCCCCCAUCUGGCAAAUUGACUUUGGCCUUUUCUUACCAUGUGAUUCCAUGGAGACAAUCACUCGGCAGGACACGCCACCCCACCCCCAGCACAGGGGUUCACCAGGGGCCCAACCUGACCCAACCUGAACACCACAGCACCGCCGCUGACUGCCCUUGACUGACUGAUCCAGAGAUGAGCCAAUGUAUUGUGAUCCAAACCGAGCAAAACAGAGCCUCUUCUUAGCUACUUAGAUCCUCAAGGCCUGAGAGCACAGGUCUCAUUUUAUUAGACUGGUUAAGCUGGGAAAGGAAGCCUGGAGCUGCUGGUGACCACGAGGGAUGAUCCAGACACAAAGUGUGCAGAUGAGACAGGAUGGAAGGGGGCAGGGCACAGCCAUUCAAGGAAUGCUACAGCAAUUAACAUCAAAAUGGUGAAAGAUUCGACCCCCAGUAGACCUUGAGGCUCAAGAUGGUGGGAGAUUUGACUUCUAGCAGAUCUUGAGCCUCAUUAUACCCUCACUGUAAUAUAUUAACAUGGUGAAUAAUAUGUCCACAGGCACCAUGGCAGUCCCAAGGCUAGCCACGAAAGGUCAAAGAGUGGGAAAUGGCCAACUUCCUGGGAAUCCCAGCCCCUUCCCCUUAGACUGGUCCUUCCACUUAUUAGCAUAUGAAGCCACCAAGCCCAUAAAAACCAGCAACAUGGCGCCUCGUGUCUGGCCCUCUCUCUCCCUCUUCAGAGACGGCCCGCAUACUGUCCAUGGGAUGUGUACCCACGUUUAAUCUGAGCGCACAACCCCGACACCUUGUGGCCUUUCUCUUGCCUUUCAAUGUAUCUCUCUGAAUAAAUCUAC